GACGAACGCUGGCGGCGUGCUUAACACAUGCAAGUCGAACGGACAGGCCCUGCUUUUGUGGGGUGCUCGAGUGGCGAACGGGUGAGUAUCACGUGAGUAACCUGCCCUUGACUUUGGGAUAACUUCAGGAAACUGGGGCUCUUACCGGGUAGGAGCUCUUGCUGCAUGGUGGGGGUUGGUAAGUUUCGGCGGUUGGGGAUGGACUGGCGGCUUAUCAGCUUGUUGGUGGGGUAGUGGCUUACAAAGGCUUUGACGGGUAGCCGGCCUGGGAGGGUGGCCAGCGACAAUAGGCCUGCGGUACGGCCCAGACUCCAACGGGAGGCAGCGGUGGAGAGUAUUACGCAGUGGGCGGGAGCCAGAGGCAGCAACGCCGCGUGCGGGAUGACGUGCUUCUGGUUGUAAACCACUGUCGCAUUUGACGAGGCGGGAGUGACGGUAAUGGGUAAAGAAGCACCGGCUAACUACGUG
rnacentral:rRNA from 1 species